CACUGCAGCUACCUUACAGCCCGGGAGGUGAUUCUGAUUUUUAGCUCCAUUGCAGUAGUGUGUAUCUAAAUUGCCUUCCCUGGAAUCUGUGGCACCCAGCCCUCCCUAAGGAGGAAGGGGAUAUGCGGUGAUGUACCAUCCUGACAUGUUUUUAGGCGGUGAGACACGUCGCAGAUGUGAAUUACAACUAUGAGUAAUCUCCAGUGAUGUCAGUGGGCGUUAUCCCCAUGUCCGGAGGGUAAUAGAUUGGGCCCCUGUAAUGAACCUCAGAGAAGUACCAGAAUGAGAGAGCCCUCCAACUGGAACAGCACAAAACAAGUCUUUAAUGAAAGCAAUUGGAAUAGCACUAAAUAAAGUGUUUUAAUGGAGCUCCAAAGAGAUGUGUAAAAGCUGCUAGUAAAGUCAGUUGAAGGCCUGUCACAGUGCCUCUGAAUUCCCUUCACAGCCCUCCUGCUGGCAGCAGUUCAGGUCUCUUUACAGUACAUUAGAGGUAAGCGUAACAGUAUUAUACCAGGCCCUUUGAAAAACUAAUAAAAAUUUUCUUCCUGUGAGAGAAGCCCA
rnacentral:lncRNA from 1 species